GGACAAUUUGAGGGUUCAAAUUCAUAUUCCCGGUGAUGGUGCUCUUUUGCGGAUGCCAUAUUAUAGGAGUUGGGGAGCCAAUAUUGUAUACAAGCAAGAAAGCAGAGGACAUAAAAGAAGAAAAAUGGAUUGAAUUAAAUGAUAGGCCAAGUGGCCUAUAGCUACUAUUUCUUUGGAAUUUUAGGUGAGAUUUUCCUUUCAUUUUUGUUUGUGGUCUCUGGUCUUUAAGACUUGAUUUUCUAUGGAAAGAACAAGAAACUAAGAAGUUUGGUAAAUCUUGUAGUUGUAGCAGGAUUUUUUAGUCCAUCCAAAUCAAAGGACAGAGAAGAAAGUGAACACAGGGUGUUUGAUGAAAUGCCUCAGUUAACUUGAGAGCACCAAGAGUCUACUGCUUCUAUUUAUAAUGUGCAUUACAUCAAUAUAAGAGACAUUGUGCCAUUGGAGACUUGUGUCUAUAGAAUCUUUAGCAAAUGGAGAUGCGUUAGCCACCAUUGUGGCUAUUGCCGUGGGAGAUGGGUCUUCAUUUGAAAUGCCACCAACUGAAAAAGGAACAAAAAUGCAUCUUGUUUCCUAGCUCAAGAAAUUAAACCAGAGAUGGAUUUCUGGUCACUCUUUGAGGUGGCGUCCAUGCCAAUCUUGCAAGUCCUCUUGAUCUGCAUAUUGGGAGCAUUCUUAGCAACUGUGUACGUAAAUCUUCUCCCUUCAGAUGCUCGGAAAUCCUUGAACAAGAUCGUCUGCAUGGUGUUCACUCCUUCACUCGUAUUUGGGAGUCUGUCCAACACUGUAAUGCACAAAGACAUCAUUUCAUGGUGCAUAUAUAUAACAGUGGCCUCAUCUAAAAUCAAUUCUGAAGCAUAAUAUGCUGGUGCCAAAGGGGCUACAAAGGAAGAAAAUAGUGAGGAAAAAGAGUUUCCUAAAGGUGCAUUACAAUGUCGUUUUCUUACAAACGAAUUUGCCUUUAAGAUACUAUGAGGUCCUGAGCUAAUAUUUUUUGUCUGUUUGUGUUAUGCAUGUACAAAUGAAAUUUCAUGAUUCACCACAUAUAACAACAUUGCAAUUUUAUCUAUAAAUA